rnacentral:rRNA from 1 species
UACGGAGGGGGCGAGCGUUGUUCGGAAUUACUGGGCGUAAAGGGCGCGUAGGCGCUUGUCAGUCAGGCGUGAAAGCCCCGGGCUCAACCUGGGAUGUGCGUUUGAUACUGCGAGGCUAGAGACCGGAAGAGGAUGGCGGAAUAUCCAGUGUAGAGGUGAAAUUCGUAGAUAUUGGAUGGAACACCAGUGGCGAAGGCGGCCAUCUGGUCCGGGACUGACGCUGAGGCGCGAAAGCGUGGGGAGCAAACAG